UACGGAGGGUGCAAGCGUUAUCCGGAUUCACUGGGUUUAAAGGGUGCGUAGGUGGGCUAGUAAGUCCGUGGUGAAAUCUCCAAGCUUAACUUGGAAACUGCCGUGGAUACUAUUAGUCUUGAAUAUUGUGGAGGUAAGCGGAAUAUGUCAUGUAGCGGUGAAAUGCUUAGAUAUGACAUAGAACACCGAUAGCGAAGGCAGCUUGCUACACAAUCAUUGACACUGAGGCACGAAAGCGUGGGGAGCAAACAGG
rnacentral:rRNA from 1 species